GUCUCUUUCAGGCAGCGGCGCCUCGCUCCACAUGCAUGUAAUCUAGCAGACAAGGAAAAAUGAAAAGAGAAUUGCAUGUGGAUGAAGGGAACAGAAAUGGGAUGACAGCGAGAAGAAUGCACGGAGUGAUCCCGCCGUAUCCUGUGUUUGAGUUGUGGGCCUCGGCUCCCCUCUGGACUUUGGAUUGCUUCCCUCGAUCUUCAAAGCGUGCCGGGACACGGCCCUGCUCGCUCUUACCGCAUCAUGGCCACGUGCCUGCACGGCUGCAGGCAAUCAUCAAUCUGCGCACCUGCGUCUGAUGAUUGCAGACAGCAUAAAGACCAGCCCACCCAAAGAACCAGUGUCGGGAUGUAGUUCACUCUUCUAUUGCACGCCUCGACUCCCCUCCGGACUUUGGACAGCUUGCCUCGAUCCUCGACCCUCGCUUGGAGAAGGACCUCGUCGUCUCUCUCCAGCCUCCAACCUCUCGCUUGCCCACGGACUGUCUUCUUGCCUGGCCCCUAUGGACUUCUGACGGAUUCAUCCAACACGCACGUACAACACCCGCUGGUAAGAUUCACAUUGCUAAUACUUUAAAUCGUCUUGCACCAUUCACUUAUAGUAGCAUACACACCCCAGCAUAUCAUUAGCUUCAAUAAACCUGUUGAACUGAUUUCCGCCAUUGGGUCGGGUCCUUCCCCCACCGUAUGUAACACUUUUAGUUGUAAGUAAACAAACAAAGGCUCCUAAUUUAGCUGCUAACAUAUGCAGUAACAUAUUGUGUUAUUUUCCAUUCUAUUAUUUUGUAAACAUUAUUAAGGAAAAGUGGUAGAAAAUUAAAUAUUAAUCAACUUGUAAGUUUACUGGUAAUAUCUGCUUACUUUCUCGUUUAACAUGUUUUAUCUUCACUUCUGUUAAAAUGUAAUAAUCAAUUAUUCUUUUGUUGUUUGGAUACUUUAGAUUAGUUUUGGAUGAUACCAUAAAUGUGAGUAUCAAUCCGAUACCAAGUCGGAUUGAUACAUUGGUCAUAUUCAAAGUCCUCAUGUGUCCAGAGACAUAUUUCCUGAGUUCAUAAACAUAGUAUACAUGUAUACAUUUACGAAAGAAGAUGUUGUGAAGCUAAAAAAAAAAUCACAUUCGUAGUAGUAUCGACUGGACACGCUAUUGUACUUGGUAUCAAUUAUAGUGGAUGUCAGGUGUAGAUCCACCCAUGGCGUUUGUUUACAUUUUGAUGCCGGUGAGCUACAGUGUGUAGUGAAGCAUGUUAGCUAUUUCUCGUCCUGCAGGGAUGAUACUUGUAAGAAACGUACUUUAUUUGUCGCCAUGAAGGCGAAGGUUAUUGAUUUAAAAGUAGCUACAACACGGCAGACUGGGGCAGGACGUUAGCCGCUAGCUGGCUCGCCAUGUCUUAAAGCACCUCUUUCCGAGGGCAUUUCAGUGUUACAACUUCACCUUCAUUGAUAGUUUUUAAGCCAAAAUGCGUCCAUUUUCCCUUUUCUGUCCACGCAAUGUCUGCUAGUAAGUACUCUGUGAAUGUGUGCUGCCGAACAUGCUCCUCUGCCCGUAAACCCACAGUGUCAGGGCGUGACGACCGGCUUUUCAGAGGAAUAUGAUUCAUUAGUAUCGCAGUACUAUACUAACAACGGUAUACCUUACAACCUUAAUAUACAUAUAUAAUAUGAACAUAUUUCCACAUAGCAUCCAAAAAGGGAUGCCAUUAGAAAAAAAACAACAUAUGCAGCCCGAUGCCAAAAUACCCACCAUAAAUGAAGAGAUUUAGGAUGAUAACAUCAUAACAUAUCAGAUCAUUCUCCUGGCACCAUACAAAUAUGAAUGGUAUUAGAAAAAUAACAUACUGUAUCUCCAGUGAAAGAUGUAAACAUUCUGAUCAUAAAGGGAACAAUUUUAGUUCAGUUCUGUUUCAGUUGAUUUGGAACAUGCAUACAAUACAAUGUAAUGCAUCACACAUUUCCAGUUGUUUCAUUACAGCACGUCCGAAAAGGAUUUGGAAGAAGCAGAUCUUAUUUAAUACCAUAGAAAUUGUAUCCCAUUUCCUUGUUCUCUGUAAGAGAACAGUGAACAAAUACAUUAUAAAUAAAAAAUAUACCAUAGUAAGCAAACAGAUAUUAAGUAGAUAAAUGAUCUUUAUUUCCAAAAAAAAAAAAAAAAGGUUCCACAUGUUCAUCAUAAUUCUUGUCCUGUGUAAUUUGUGAAAACUUGUAGUAUGAACAGUCCCUUAAACUGAAUCAUUUUGGUACUUUGUUUAUUUCCUUGGUUGAUUUGUUCCAUAAUUUAACUCCACAUACUGAUAUGCUAAAGGUUUUAAGUGUUGCACAUGCAUAAAAAAUGUUUUAAAUUCGAUUUUCCUUUCAGAUUAUAUUUUUCCUCUUUCAUUGGUAAGAAUUGUUGAACAUUCUUGGCUAGCAGGUUGUAUUUUGCUUUUUGCAUAAUUUUAGUUGUUUGCAAAUGCACCAAGUUUUUGGAUUUCUGUCAUGUUUUGUGGUCACAUUUUUGUUUGGUUUUGGACUCAUUGUGCACUCUUGUUUGUUUUGUCACCAUGAGAACUGAUUAGUUCUCAUGGUGACACCUGAUUUGUUUGGACUCACGCACCUGUCAAUCACUGCACCACUAUUUAAGCCUGUAGUUUCCAGGCAGUCAACCUGGCGACAUCACCCUCUACACACCCUUGUUAUCCAUGCUGAUGAUCCAUGCUUUUCUUGUUCCAACCAACUGUGGCAGGAGCGUGGUCCACGCGUUCCCUGCGGGCGGGGUGUGUGCAGCGAUCGGCCAUGAAGCAGCUGACAGCCGCGCGGUAAACCUUGAGGGGAGGUUCAUGCAGAGAGGAGACACAAGGAGAGGAGGACGAGAGCCGAGAUGAAAAGAGAACUGAAAACAAACCUUGUGGAUUGCAAGUACGGGCUGAAAAGCCCAAACUGACAUUUGUGUAAACAACAGAAAUUAAAUAUUGUAAAUGUUGCUUCGAGUGUGCUUCUCAUUCCCUGUGAUCCCAGAAGAACCCAAGCAGGAUCUUUGUUAAAGUGGCACCCAACAGAUCACAAGGAUGUCGGCACCAACCCCCCUGGAAGCGCUGGGCCAAGUCCUGGCCGAAGUGUCGGCGGCAAGCCGACAGCAGACCCAAUUGCUGCAGGCAUUGAUGGGCCGAGCGGAGACAGCAGGUGGGUCAUCCACCAAGAAGCGCAUGGUGGAGGGGGAGGACCCACAAACUUUCUUGGAAGUCUUUGAGGCCACGGCGACCUCGAGCAAGUGGCCGGAGGAAGAAUGGGGCGCGCGGCUGCUGCCACUCUUGGUGGGCGAGGCGCAGCGGGCGGCGUUGAGUCUCCCAGCGUCAGGCCGCGCGCACUACAUCAAGCAGCGGCACGCCAUCCUGGACUGAGUAGGCAGCAGCCCCGAAGAUCACCGCCGACAAUUCCGGGCCAUGAAAUUGGAGCCGGAGGGUCGGCCGUUCGUGUUCUCCCAUCGACUGAGGGAUGCAGCGAUCCGGUGGCUUCAGCCCAACGGGCAGGCCCAAAAGAUGUUGGAGGCGAUCGUUUUGGAGCAGUUUCUUGACGGCAUCCCGGCAAGGACAUCCGCGUGGGUACGGUACCACAGCCUGUAUCAACUUAAAGUGCCCUCUUUGGGGAUUGCAAUAGAGAUCCAUCUGGAUUCAUGAACUUAAUUCUAAACAUAUCUUCACAAAAAAAGAAAUCUUUAACAUUAAUAUUUAUGGAACAUGUCCACAAAAAAAUCUUGCUGUCAACACUGAAAAUUGCAUUGUUGCAUUUCUUUUCACAGUUUCUAAACUUACAUUCAUAUUUUGUUGAGAUAUUAUCCAAUAAAUAUAUUUAUAAAGGA